UUGCCUACGGGUGGCUGCAGUGGGGAAUUUUGGACAAUGGGCGCAAGCCUGAUCCAGCCAUGCCGCGUGCAGGAUGAAGGCCUUCGGGUUGUAAACUGCUUUUGUACGGAACGAAAAAGCUCUCUCUAAUACAGGGGGUGAAUGACGGUACCGUAAGAAUAAGCACCGGCUAACUACGUGCCAGCAGCCGCGGUAAUACGUAGGGUGCAAGCGUUAAUCGGAAUUACUGGGCGUAAAGCGUGCGCAGGCGGUUAUGUAAGACAGAGGUGAAAUCCCCGGGCUCAACCUGGGAACUGCCUUUGUGACUGCAUAGCUGGAGUGCGGCAGAGGGGGAUGGAAUUCCGCGUGUAGCAGUGAAAUGCGUAGAUAUGCGGAGGAACACCGAUGGCGAAGGCAAUCCCCUGGGCCUGCACUGACGCUCAUGCACGAAAGCGUGGGGAGCAAACAGGAUUAGAUACCCGAGUAGUCGAG
rnacentral:rRNA from 1 species